AGAGGAGGAAACUGAGACACGGGGAAGUGAUGCGUGACUCACAGUCACAUAGUAAGCUUGGAUUCGAACUCAAGGAGUCUGACCUCCUCACCCCCAGCCCAGGCUGGGCCUGGCACCCAGUGACACAGAAUCUUCUCAUGAGAGGCUAAACCCUGGGAGAAGUGGAAAGAGCUGAGGACCACAGGGCAAUUGACGAAGAACGAGGAGCAAUCCGGAGGCUGUGGAGGGUUAGAAACACUUGUGCUGGCUGUGAGAUGUUGGUCGGGGGAGGACUGGUGGGCCAUGGGCCGUGUUUAUCUGUGGGGCCACCCUGUUUACCUGGUGGCUGAGCAGGGAGCAUAUCCUCUUUUGUUCCUGGGAGGUGGCUUGUGUGGGGACUGAAGAUGAAUCGGCCCAGGCGGGCAACUUCCCCGCUACCGCCCCUCCCCCGCACGGCAGGUAGCAUCAGGUGUAUUUGGCAAAGCCUCGUGCAUGGGGAAGGCCAAUCAGCCUGAGUGAGCUGGGCUGUGCUGAAGCUGGGGAUUGCUGGGGAUUGCUCUUGCAAUCAGGGCAUUUCACACAGCAAAUUGUGGUCAUUUAGGCCUCUCUCCGGCAAGCUUAAUUUCAGGCCCAAGCACAGAGGCUAUUCAGAGACACAAUGAGGUAAUUUCACAUUUUAAAGCAGAGAAUGCAGCGUAAAUUAGUAGAAAAAAUCAUGACACUUAUAAACCCGUUCUAAAGAUGUAUUGUUCCCUUCUCUUCUGGGAGAAAAAAAAUCAGCUUCUAUUAAGAUUGAAUUAACCACUGGAGGAGAAUUCCUCAGACGGCCCAUUCAUAAGGAGAAAUCUAUUUUAAACUUGGUGGAAAGGCUUUUGCGGCAAGUGUUAGGAAGAGAGUUCCUGAGAAGAUGCAGGUGCUCUCGCAGCAGUCCCUGCACCUGGGCAGGGGGGAGCAGGGCGCUCAGGCCUGCGCCCUCUCAUGCCCACCCCAGGUUGGCCCCCUUUGGGUACAGCCUUGAGUAGUGUAAAUGCUGAGGUCAGAUGCCCCCCAGACAGUAACUUAAGUACAAAUCGUUUAUUUGGGAGUGAGGGAGGGGAGUGGGGAAGUGAGAUGUCAGGGCUGGGGGACUAGGGGAGCAGUAAAGAGUCCUGCAUCAAGUCAGCCACCCCUGUGGGUAACUGGAGGCAGAGGAGACCGUGCUCCUUAGAGUUAGCCUCCAUGAGGGCUGGGAAGCUGGGCUGUUUAUCACGCCCAAUCCUAAAAGUCAUCAUGGAGGGCUGCUCCAUCAAUGUAUUGGUUUUAAUUUCUUGGCUUUUCUCAUCUUUACCCUGAAGGUGGCAAAGUGGGCUCCAGCAGCCAGAGAUAGCCCUUGGCAAGGCUGUGGGGAGCCAGGCAGGUAAGGCCUGGAGUGGUCAGCAUGAUGGGAUCUAGCACGUGCUACCUGGUUACUGGUAUUCUCAUUCCCAAACCCCAUCCCAAGGCGCUUCCUUGGGCUCUAGCACGUCUUUUUUUUUUUUUUUUUUUUUUUUUUUUUUUUUGAGACAGAGCCUUGCUCUGUCCCCCAGGCUGGAGUGCAGUGGCGCAAUCUUGGCUCACCACAACCUGUACCUCCCAGGUUCAAGCGAUUCUCC
rnacentral:lncRNA from 1 species